CAUUAAACAUUGUGGUCCUGAAUCUACCAUUUGGAACACAGUGACACGUCUCAGCUUCUUUCUCAACAACAGCCAAAGUUUUUCCCUUUCUCUCUCAUUCACGUGAACUUCUCUUGUCCACUGUUCCCCUUCUCUAAACCCUUCUCAAUUCAUCUUCUCUCUUCCUUCUCAACUUUCUCCAACUCACAACAGAGAUAGGCUCCAUCACCGCAUAUCACUCUUAUCCAAGCCCUUCAUUUUUUUUGUGUGCUACUGUGUCAGUCCAUACCUUUUUCUAUGUGACCAUCCAUACACGCCUCAUUCCUUGCAAAACCAUAAAAUUUCAAGCAAAAGCUUCUCGCACGCUUGGUGAGUACCACGAUCUACAAAGGAUGGAAGAGGCAAUGAAACUUAUCAGAGCUUUUGCUGGUAGGCGCUGAGCAAAAGACCGACAGAGCAAUGCAUUGAGUGAAUGGCUGAGACAAAUCAAGCACGUAUUCUCCAACCCGAAAGACAUAAUCCACGAUUCGAUUUUGAGAUUGAAGCGUUGCAGAAGUAUGUUUUCAAUGGAGCAACUUCAAAAUCAUUUCAAGUGUUUUUUUUUCAUGCAGCCAUGUGUGUUAGAUGAUGUUUGAAGAUGAGAAGAAAACCGUGUCUACUGUACGAAAGUGAAACUACUUUCGCAAAACAAUCAUUGCCGUUCAUUUGUAAAAUGAGAAAAUCAAAUGAUGGAGAUGUGUCUAGGACUAUUGGUUCAGUUUCGUGAUUGAACCAUACCCUAACAGAGCCCUCUGGUAUAAGUUUCGGCCCUGUUGUCUUCCUCGCCCUCCCUUUUGGCUUUACCUUAUCAUAGCAGAGGUCGCGAUUUAGCGAUAGCCCAGUUUGGUGAAGUUACGGGGCAGAUCUGCCACUACCGUUCACUCUUUCCUCCUACAACGUCAAUAACCUCGAAAAGGGUAUACCGUAAUCGCGUAAUGGAUUGAAGUUCACUUUUUGAAAAGGUUGAAAUUGCAUAAAAAACGCUGAGAAAACCACGUUUGUGGGUUUAGAGUAAAAUGAGAUGCCACAUCAUUCGUGUUAUUCAUACUGGGUACCAUUAAGCCAUUUUCCAUUUUAUUAAGAUGUUUAGAACUAUUAUAUUGAUGUUUUAAGAACUAUCGGGGGAAUUUGUUUAAACUUAUUAUCUUUGUUUUACUAUCUUUGUUUUACAAGUUAGAUUAUGUGCAUGUGAAUUGAACCGAUUGAACUGGCGCAUUAUCUUUCUUAAUGAAGCCAUCACGGUCACCACCAUCCAAUAAUUUAUACUCCACGGUUUGAUAUAUAAUAUAAUUCUCACUUAUGGCA